rnacentral:lncRNA from 1 species
GGAUGGCUACGACUGCGACAGUGGAGCAGGCAGCCAGGAUGAAGGAGGAGGAGGUAGCCCGGAUGCAGGCGGAGAUGGAUGUCCAGAAGGAGCAGGACGCAUGGAUGAACUCGUCCGGCCAGUGAUCCGACAAUCAACACUUGUCGGUCAGACAUUGCUUUCAUUUUGGCAUGUUUGUUUGGUUGAACUAUGAUAUCAUUUGCUUUUGUUUAAAACUGUUGAAUUCGAAAAAUUUGUAUCGGAUGGUCGACGUGCAUGCAUGACUUUGUAUGGAUUUAAGAGUCCGGAUAUAAGGUAUGUGAAUGCACGGAACAAAAUAUGAGAAGCUGUCUGAAUGCUUUUGCGAUCAUGCCAGGGCUCGUCAGCGGACGUAUAGUGGGACGGAUUUGCCU